rfam:Bombyx mori DNA, contig: Bm_scaf51_contig26669, strain: p50T/Dazao, build 2, whole genome shotgun sequence.
UUAACUCAAAUUUGUAUGGAGUUGGUACGGCUUCCCUUCGUUUGCCGCUAGGGGCGCUGUUCCAACUCCAUACAAAUUUGAGUAA